rnacentral:rRNA from 1 species
GAUGAACGCUGGCGGCGUGCCUAAUACAUGCAAGUCGAGCGAACAGACGAGGAGCUUGCUCCUCUGACGUUAGCGGCGGACGGGUGAGUAACACGUGGAUAACCUACCUAUAAGACUGGGAUAACUUCGGGAAACCGGAGCUAAUACCGGAUAAUAUAUUGCACCGCAUGGUUCAAUAGUGAAAGUCGGUUUUGCUGUCACUUCUAGAUGGAUCCGCGCCGCAUUAGCUAGUUGGUAAGGUAACGGCUUACCAAGGCAACGAUGCGUAGCCGACCUGAGAGGGGGAUCGGCCACACGGGAACGUGAACGCGGUCCAGACUCCUACGGGAGGCAGCAGUAGGGAAUCUUCCGCAAUGGGCGAAAGCCUUACGGAGCAACGCCGCGUGAGUGAUGAAGGUCUUCGGAUCGUAAAACUCUGUUAUUAGUGAAGAACAAAUGUGUAAGUAGCUAUGCACGUCUUGACGGUACCUAAUCAGAAAGCCACGGCUAACUACGUG